AUUGAACGCUGGCGGCAGGCUUAACACAUGCAAGUCGAGCGGAAACGAUGGGAGCUUGCUCCCAGGCGUCGAGCGGCGGACGGGCGAGUAACACUUAGGAAUCUACCUAGUAGUGGGGGAUAGCUCGGGGAAACUCGAAUUAAUACCGCAUACGUCCUACGGGAGAAAGGGGGCAACUUGUUGCUCUCGCUAUUAGAUGAGCCUAAGUCGGAUUAGCUAGUUGGUGGGGUAAAGGCCUACCAAGGCGACGAUCUGUAGCUGGUCUGAGAGGAUGAUCAGCCACACCGAGACUGAGACACGGCCCGGACUCCUACGGGAGGCAGCAGUGGGGAAUAUUGGACAAUGGGGGAAACCCUGACCCAGCCAUGCCGCGUGUGUGAAGAAGGCCUUUUGGUUGUAAAGCACUUUAAGCAGUGAAGAAGACCUAACGGUUAAUACCCGUUAGCGAUGACAUUAGCUGCAGAAUAAGCACCGGCUAACUCUGUGCCAGCAGCCGCGGUAAUACAGAGGGUGCAAGCGUUAAUCGGAAUUACUGGGCGUAAAGCGAGCGUAGGUGGCUUGAUAAGUCAGAUGUGAAAUCCCCGGGCUUAACCUGGGAACUGCAUCUGAUACUGUUAAGCUAGAGUAGGUGAGAGGGAAGUAGAAUUCCAGGUGUAGCGGUGAAAUGCGUAGAGAUCUGGAGGAAUACCGAUGGCGAAGGCAGCUUCCUGGCAUCAUACUGACACUGAGGUUCGAAAGCGUGGGUAGCAAACAGGAUUAGAUACCCUGGUAGUCCACGCCGUAAACGAUGUCUACUAGUCGUUGGGUCCCUUGAGGACUUAGUGACGCAGCUAACGCAAUAAGUAGACCGCCUGGGGAGUACGGCCGCAAAGUUAAAACUCAAAUGAAUUGACGGGGGCCCGCACAAG
rnacentral:rRNA from 1 species